UUGUAAUGAUGUUAUGCAAAUGUCUGAUCUGAAUAUGUUGUAGACAACAAAUCUUAACACUGAAGAA